CCCUUAGACGUUCUGGGCCGCACGCGCGUUACACUGACCAGUGCAACAAGCAUCCGUCCUUGGCCGACAGGCCCGGGCAAUCUUUGAACGCUGGUCGUGAUGGGGACAGACUUUUGCAAUUUUUGGUCUUCAACGAGGAAUUCCUAGUAAACGCAAGUCAUCAACUUGCAUUGAUUACGUCCCUGCCCUUUGUACACACCGCCCGUCGCUCCUACCGAUUGAAUGAUCCGAUGAAUAUCAUGGAUUGAGGAUGCAAGUAGGUUCGCCUAUCUUCAUCUUCGAGAAGUGAAGUAAAUCUUAUCAUUUAGAGGAAGGAGAAGUCGUAACA
rnacentral:rRNA from 1 species